GUUUAGCUGUUGCUGCACAUCUACACUUCACAUCUCUGUUGGGCCCUGCUCUCUAGGGCUUUGAGGGCCCGUUUGUGUGUGCGUGUGCGUGUCCUUCUGUGGCUUUGUGCACUCAUGUGUGUCUUAAGAGGCAAGGAUGCGAUCGGGUUGCCGUGGAAAUGGGGGAGAUAACCUCAGAUCAAAGAUGUCCGUCUUAAUGAGCUAAUCCCAGACUCGCGUCCCCCCUCUAUGACACCGUACAUGAAGUGUGCUGCUAUGAGGGAGGAGGGGGGACAGUAGGGACAGUCUGGAGACAGCUGUCACUUCUACUAGGAGCCACGGAUAUGCAGUGACAAGAGGUUGUUUCUGAUGGGAAUUAAAUGAGGCCAGAGUUUGUUGUUUACUCAAAACUAGGUCACACAUAAAUACUUGUACGGUGUUGUGACUGAAGCAACGUCAGGUUCAUAAUGAUCAACAAGGUCAGCAGUAAUUGUGUAGGUGAUUUGAAAGCUCAUGCCACUGUUGCCGGGUUUCUGUAACCACAUUCAUAUCUACUGACUUUCUUUCUGAGACGAGUGAUGCAAGUGACCUUCUGAGCUACUCUCUGAACCAGACAGGCCUGUGCAGGAACAAAUGCACAAUGAGGGACGUCUGCAGAGACUGAGAAAGAGUCUCACCACAUUCUGACAUCAGGAAAAAGACUUUAUUGAAGACUGCAAUGAGAAAAACUAUCAGACAGCAGACGGCAUGCAUUCAAGGUGAGCUCUGAACAUUUGAUCUGGAACAGGAAUUCAAUAACGGCAGCAUGAGCUUCAUUUCAGUCUGUAGCUGCUGAAUUCAUGGAUGAAUCAUCUGGCACUAGAGAAGAAGACGAUCAAACAUUCACGUCAGCUGAUGGAGGUCCAAGAGUCUCACCGAACAACCAACCUACAGAGUGAAGACCUCGAAUCUGAUUGGACGGCCUCCUAUUCAGCCACGUGUGAACAAAUGCCUCUAAGUUGAUUUGUUUUCUAAAAUAAAUCUAGUUUGAGUCCUAA